AAAAUUUUAAUUGAAAAUGGCAGAUUUUUUGGGAAAACUCGGAUUUUCUGAGUAAAAUUUUUGUUGAAGGAAAUCGGAAAAAAAAAUAACUUUGUGCAGAACUAAAUUACGGUGAAUUUUUAUUUGAGUGUUUUUGGCUCAAAGGAAAAAUUAUAGGAGUUACAGACCACUAAUUGAAAAAAAAAGAAGAUUUAGGAGUGCUAAUUUGUUUAUAAAUAAAAUAACACACUUUCUGCGGACUUGUCAUACCCCAUAUUACUAAUAUAUGCAAUCUUAAGAUUCGAUUUUAGCAAUAAAAUAGCUGGUAAAUAAUUUUUCCCAAAAAUGGUAUUAUUUCGAUAAUUUUCCCAGACUAUCAACAAAAUCCAAGAAACCGAAGCGCCAACCCAAAUUCUGAGCAGUGAGCAUGCAGUGAGCAGUCUCAACAUGAUAAGGUUAAUAUCCCCAGUUGCUGUCAUGGCGGUGUCGAAAUGAAAUUGCGACUGUCGAAAUGAAUUAGAAUCAGGGCCUGCGGUGGGAUCACGAUCGGUAGAAUGGUAGAAUGCUGACGUCACGUUGCCUAGCAACCGUCGAUUAUCGCCUGCAAGCGUAAAUUUGGUAUCACGAUGAAUAGAAUGGUCGUUUCCAGUCGAAUUUUAUCCCCACCCUUGUAGAAUAAAAAUCCUCCUCAAACUACCACUUCUUAGCUGUAGAAAGGACGGUUAAUCUCUUUCUUUCUCAUGUUGAUAAACAAAAACAGAACCAAUAUGGCAAUAUGACAGAUAUUUAUUUUUCCCGGUUCCGCAUAGAAUAUUUUUGUCUAUUGUUAUUGUUUUUAUGUUCACUAAUAUGUUUUACAUAAUAUUUCAAUCAACGGUUUUCCUCAUAGACAUCUAAAGAAAGUUUCUCGUGGUUUUUCAUAGUGACUGUUUUGCAAAAAUACAAUUAGUUUUUAUUUUGAUAUAACUAAUAGCAGGAUAACGAAGCAACAAACCUAAAUAACAUGUUUGGCUUUCCUUUAUUUGGAGACAUCAACUUUAUUUCUUCGUGAUACUGGUACCUUAAACCUCUACAGAAUAGAAUUUUGUCUCAAAAUAGAUUGGUGAAUGUAUCUACUUACACUGUAUGUUUCUUAGAUGAAUAAAACUUUUUUCUACAUAA